rnacentral:rRNA from 1 species
AGGGUUCGAUUCUGGCUCAGGAUGAACGCUGGCGGCAGGCUUAAUACAUGCAAGUCGAACGGUAAGGUCCGAAGUGGCAACACGGAGGAUACACGAGUGGCGCACGGGUGUGUAACGCGUAUGCGACCUGCCCCCGACCGGGACAAAACAGCUGGAAACGGCUGCUAAUAUCCCAUGGUCAUGCGGAAGGGCAUCCUUCUUCAUGUAAAGAUUCAUUGGUCGGGGAUGGGCAUGCGUAUUAUUAGGUAGUUGGCGGGUAACGGCCCACCAAGCCGACGAUGAUUAGGGGUCCUGAGAGGGUUAACCCCCACACUGGAACUGAGACACGGUCCAGACUCCUACGGGAGGCAGCAGUAGGGAAUAUUGGGCAAUGGGAGCAAUCCUGACCCAGCCAUGCCGCGUGAAGGAAGACGGCCCUAUGGGUUGUAAACUUCUUUUGCCGCAGAGUAAACCCGGUCACGAGUGGUCGGUUGAGAGUAUGCGGCGAAUAAGUAUCGGCUAACUCCGUGCCAGCAGCGGC